AUUGAACGCUGGCGGCAGGCUUAACACAUGCAAGUCGAGCGAGCGGCGGACGGGUGAGUAAUGUCUGGGAAACUGCCUGAUGGAGGGGGAUAACUACUGGAAACGGUAGCUAAUACCGCAUACCAUCGGAUGUGCCCAGAUGGGAUUAUCGAGUAGGUGGGGUAAAGGCUCACCUAGGCGACGAUCCAUAGCUGGUAUGCGAGGAUGACCAGCCACACUGGAACUGAGACACGGUCCAGCCGCCUACGGGAGGCAGCAGUGGGGAAUAUUGCACGAUGGGCGCAAGCCUGAUGCAGCCAUGCCGCGUGUAUGAAGAAGGCCUUCGGGUUGUAAAGUACUUUCAGCGGUGAGGCGUUACCCGCAGAAGAAGCACUGGCUAACGCCGUGCCAGCAGCCGCGGUAAUUC
rnacentral:rRNA from 1 species